rnacentral:rRNA from 1 species
UACGAAGGGGGCUAGCGUUGCUCGGAAUCACUGGGCGUAAAGCGCACGUAGGCGGACUUUUAAGUCAGGGGUGAAAUCCUGGAGCUCAACUCCAGAACUGCCUUUGAUACUGGAAGUGCUUGAGCCGGAAGAGGUAAGUGGAACUGCGAGUGUAGAGGUGAAAUCGUAGAUAUUCGCAAGAACACCGGUGGCGAAGGCGGCCAUCUGGACGGUAACUGACGCUGAGAGCGAAAGCGUGGGGAGCAAACAGG